GAUGAACGCUGGCGGCGUGCCUAAUACAUGCAAGUCGAGCGAACAGACGAGGAGCUUGCUCCUCUGACGUUGGCGGCGGACGGGUGAGUAACACGUGGAUAACCUACCUAUAAGACUGGGAUAACUUCGGGAAACCGGAGCUAAUACCGGAUAAUAUAUUGAACCGCAUGGUUCAAUAGUGAAAGACGGUUUUGCUGUCACUUAUAGAUGGAUCCGCGCCGCAUUAGCUAGUUGGUAAGGUAACGGCUUACCAAGGCAACGAUGCGUAGCCGACCUGAGAGGGUGAUCGGCCACACUGGAUCUGAGACACGGUCCAGACUCCUACGGGAGGCAGCAGUAGGGAAUCUUCCGCAAUGGGCGAAAGCCUGACGGAGCAACGCCGCGUGAGUGAUGAAGGUCUUCGGAUCGUAAAACUCUGUUAUUAGGGAAGAACAAAUGUGUAAGUAACUAUGCACGUCUUGACGGUACCUAAUCAGAAAGCCACGGCUAACUACGUG
rnacentral:rRNA from 1 species